rnacentral:rRNA from 1 species
CACGUAGGGUGCGAGCGUUGUCCGGAAUUAUUGGGCGUAAAGGGCGCGUAGGCGGUCCUUCAAGUCAGGCGUGAAAGCCCCGGGCUCAACCUGGGAACCGCGCUUGAGACUGGAGAACUAGAGUUCGGGAGAGGAUGGUGGAAUUCCCAGUGUAGAGGUGAAAUUCGUAGAUAUUGGGAAGAACACCGAUGGCGAAGGCAGCCAUCUGGACCGACACUGACGCUGAGGCGCGAAAGCGUGGGGAGCAAACAGG